CACGCCCUAAACGAUGGAUGCUAGAUUUUGGGAGUAUCGACCCUCCCAGAGUCGGUUAAAAUAGCUAACGCAUUAAGCAUCCCGCCUGGGGAGUACGGCCGCAAGGCUAAAACUCAAAGGAAUAGACGGGGACCCGCACAAGCGGAGGAGCAUGUGGUUUAAUUCGAUGGUAAGCGAGGAACCUCACCUAGGUUUGACAUGUAGCUGCAAGCCGCUGGAAACAGUGGCCGCCUUCGAGGGUGCUACACAGGUGC
rnacentral:rRNA from 1 species